UCAAGAGCAUUGGAUUAGGGAAUCGUGA
rnacentral:piRNA from 3 species